rnacentral:rRNA from 1 species
AUGGGAUCUGGGACCAGCAAGGCCGCUUCGCCGGCGCCGGCGCCGGCCGGCGGCGAGGCCAAGGCGCGGAAUGGGAAGCCGAGGGGGAAGAGCCUGAUGCGCCUGCCCAGCUACUCCUGCUUCCGGGGCUUCACGCCCGAUUGCGACCCUUCUUCUUCGCUGCCGGCGCCGCCGCCGCCGCCGCUAGGGGUCGAGUCAAGCAAGGGAGGGGCGACGCCUAAACUCACUCACAUUGGCAUAUCAGAUGAAGAUGCUUCGUCGGCUCCUAAAUCGAAUCCAAGUGAAGUCAGAACGAUGCCUUUGUCAGAUACCGACAGAGACCAAGAUGAUGAUGUAUUGCAGAAUGUCACUGCUACCAGGACCGCAGUCGACGAUGACCAAUCACCAAAUCCUUCUGACCGGCCGCGUCCAUGCUUUGGUGUCAACUUUGGGUUGAGUAGAGCCGUCAGCUUGGGUUCAUCAGUGGCAUGCUCCAUUAUGUCAAACGGUCUCUCCUCUUCAGCUAAUCCUAGUAUUGGAAAUGUGGACCAUCCUUCCGAUGCGAACAUCCCUCAACAAGGUGGUGCAUCGACUUCUGGGAUUUAUUCAAGUCUGGAUAUGCUAAGAGACAGCGUCACAACGCAAGCUAGAGCGGCUCAUCAGGCUAGGAGAAAUUUGCUGGAAUCUGAAGAUGCUAACUUGAGGCAUUCGCACAGGAGGAUGGGACCCCAGGAACCUUCUGAAGGCAGUGUCCGGUUUAGCCGAACACUUAGUGUUGGAAGACUUCGUGACAGGGUCCUCAGGAGGACUCCAUUCUCAGAUAGUUUGUUCACCUCUUCACUUUAUGAUAGACCAGUGUGGACCGCAGGAAAUGCCAGCGCGAGGCAAGAUUCAUCUGUGAUGCAACGGACUAAUUCAGACAGAGGUUCCGAACCGCAACCAGAACCUUCAACUAACAGCACGUACAAUUCUGGCUCUGCAACUCUAAGAGAAGCCAGUAAUCGGGAUCUUCUUGAGCGCAGAUCGGCUUUUCUUGAAAGGAGGAGGAGGAUAAGAUCUCAGGUCCGAGCUCUCCAAAGGUUGGGCAGCAGGUUCGAAAAUUUAUCAGGUCAUGAGAGAUCAUGCAUUCUAUCUGGUCAACAUAGAACAGGAAAUUGCAACUGCAGGGCAAGCAGUCGACCAGGUAAUCCUGAUGAAGAAUCCGGCACAAGGGCUAGCAUAUCAAGAAUUGUUAUGCUAGCAGAAGCACUCUUUGAGGUCCUGGAUGAAAUCCACCAACAGUCUGCUGCUUUAUCCUCAAGGUCAUCAUUACCUCCAAUUGGAUCCGUUCCUGCUCCAAAGGAGAUCGUCGAGAGUCUUCCUGUCAAGGUGUACAGAAAGCCGUUGAAACACCAAACUGAUGAGGCUGCACAAUGCUACAUUUGCCUUGUCGAAUAUGAAGAGGGAGACUGUGUUCGCAUACUUCCAUGCAAUCAUGAGUUUCAUCUAACAUGUGUAGAUAAGUGGCUGAAAGAGAUUCACAGGGUUUGUCCACUCUGUCGUGGCGAUGUCUGCCGAUCCGAUUCGUCGAGCAUAGGGAAAUUCAGCUGA